rnacentral:lncRNA from 1 species
AUGGAAAUUCCCUUGAAGGAAAUUAGAAGAAUAGUGGUUGAAGAAUUUUAUUUUAUUUUUCAACAACAGGAGGAAAAUAGACCUACAAACACAGCUGAGCUCAGCAUGCAGGUUUAUGUCUUCCCUGUUACAAGAAUUUACCUGUACAAGAGAAUGAAGAAAGGAGAAUUUAAAACAAAACUGCAUCAAAAAGGGAAAAGGGAGAUGAGCCCUUGGAAGGGGGAUGAUCUUCCAUCACUUCAGCAGCUUGAGGACUCAAACUUGUGAAACUUUAGGAACUGGCUGAGGAGUCCCUUAGCACUUCUUAACAAACGACCAACGUGCAAUGUUGAGUAAGUUUUAAAGCUGAAGUAAUUUGUAGCAACUCCACUGACAUAUUGUUGGAUGGUUGCUGAAAGUAGAGAAUUCAAAAUAAUAGUACACACACACACACACACACACACAAAAGUUUUUAUAAAUUAUAUAUUUUUUUCUUUUGGAAAAUAUUUGAGCAUAUGCAUCACACUUUGUUUAAGAUGGAAUAGCAGCACCUACCAGAAGAGAGGUGAGAUCAUAGCUGGCACCUCAAACAGAAAUGUUGAGGACAAACCUGUGCACCCUUAUGGUGCAGUGAACUCUUUUCUAUCUGCCUAGCUGGCUUCAGCAAAACCGUUCAUGCUAUCACAGCUUAAUCAUAUUAAAAGUGAUGAGCAAUUGAGAAAAGCAUAACAGAAAAG